GACGAGCGCUGGCGGCGUGCUUAACACAUGCAAGUCGAACGGUGAAGCGCCUUCCUUUUUGGUGGGUGUGGAUGAGUGGCGAACGGGUGAGUAACACGUGAGUAACCUGCCCCCUUCUUCUGGAUAACCGCAUGAAAGUGUGGCUAAUACGGGAUAUUCUGGGUCUGUCGCAUGAUGGGUCUGGGAAAGAUAUUGUUUCGGUGGGGGAUGGGCUCGCGGCCUAUCAGCUUGUUGGUGGGGUGAUGGCCUACCAAGGCGGUGACGGGUAGCCGGCCUGGGAGGGUGGACGGUCACACUGGGGCGGAGACACGGCCCAGACUCCUACGGGAGGCAGCAGUGGGGAAUAUUGCACAAUGGGCGCAAGCCUGAUGCAGCGACGCCGCGUGAGGGAUGGAGGCCUUCGGGUUGUGAACCUCUUUCGCCAGUGAAGCAGGCCUGCCUCGUUUGUGGGUGGGUUGACGGUAGCUGGAUAAGAAGCGCCGGCUAACUACGUG
rnacentral:rRNA from 1 species